CCCACCUGAAGACCUUACUCAAAAUCUCCCGUCAAAGCGGAGUUACUUACUUCCUUGCUCUGCUCGUGUCUUCAGGGAUCAUCAUCAUCAUCGAAGGUUCAUGUCAUAAAAUGAAUCUCGAUUAGAAACUCAUUAACAAAUCUCAUGCCUUAACUCUUGCUCUAUCUCAUAUUCUAUCUCCUUAUUCAACUCUAUAUAGACUCUCCACUCAUCUCAAAUCCUUAAGCUCAAGGAUAGGUUUCAAGAAAAUCAUGGUUCUAAGUCUCGAUUUAUCUCUCAUAUAAGACUCGUCUAAUUUUCACUCAAACACAUAGGCAACACAAACACGUAAGGCACAUAAGAAAAUACAAUCAAACAUCAUCAAAACAUGCUCUGUUUAUACACUGACUCAACUUCAAAAAUUAACCUGUUCUGACUCCGACAUCUCCUGGACUCGAGACUCAUACCAAAAGAAAGGUCUUCGAGUCUAGUUUCAUAUAAAAAAAAGUAGAGUCGAAAACUCCAAGUGGUUUGGGAGUUAUGUCGUUUUUACCACGAUCUACCAUAUUCGGCAGUUUUGAGCAAUCGAAAACUUUGAUUUUUGAAAAAUAGUAAAUGAUGUCAAACUGGGCUCAAAUUUGGUGGAUAUCUAGCUAACACAAUAAGGUUAAUACCAUAAAAAUUUGGAAAGCUAGAUCACACAGGAAGCUACUGAAAUGAAUGACUCUUUCCUCUGUUCUCUGAAAUUCUCGGUGGUAAUGUGCAGUUUAGGUUUUGUAUUUUAUAAAAAUAGUAAACGAAGUCCAAAUGACUUGAAAUUUUACCGGUGUGCUCAAGACUCAUGUAGGGACUUGCUAUAAAAUUUUCAAAGCUUUUUGACAUCGAAAAACCGUCGAUCACAGUAGGUCAGUAGGCCUACGAAAAUCACCAAAAUCUCAUCUCAAACUCUUAAAUGCUCAACUCAACAUUCCUUCAAAGAAAACCAAUCAAAGCUCAUUUUAAACACAUAUAACACUCACAAACAUUCAAACACAUUAUAAAACUCAUCAUACUCAAAUUAACUCUCCUCUUUUACAUUUUAACUCAAAUCUCAAGGGAAACGUUUCAACGAACGCAUCAAUUCAAUUCUCUUUUCAUUCUCAUGCUCAAAAAUUACUCAAACACUCAUGUAUGACCUCUUACAUCACACAACUCAAAAAUUCACAUAAACUAACUCAAGUCAAAAGUUUUACUUAGCCAAUAAAAGACCCAAUUAAACAUACAUAGACAUUAAUAUUAUGCUCAAAAACAUAUAUCUUAAGCCAAAUCACUUAAUAGGCACAUAGACAAGAAAAUCCUAAUUUAUAUUAAACUAAACUCUUUGACAUUUUAUAAACACACAUGGAUCUUUAAUCUCAUCAUAGAUCUACCAUUUUAAACCCAUUUAUCUCACAUAUAAUCCAUCAAUUAACAAGUUAGAAGCAUAGAUUCACAUAUACCCUAACUUUAUUAAACUUAAACUACAUAUCAAAAUACAUCAAUUGACAUCAUAUACUCAAUUUACUCCAUCAAUCAUCAUCAUAUAUAUCUCAUGGACUCAUCUUCAUCAUCAAUUUAUCACUUUAAUCAUCAACUCAAAAAUUCCCAAAUUGGGGUAAACUAAACUCAUCCGAUUUUUACAUCUCAAAGCAUAGCUUUUCAAAACACACAUCAAUCAUAACCAAACAUCACAUAGAUCACUUUUCUCACCCCAAUUCAAGGAAAGAAGAAGAAAAUUUUUUGAAGGGUUGAAGACCCAUUUGAUCGAAAAUUUCAAAACAAGGGAGGGGUGAUUUCUUGCUUCAAUCUCUCAAGAAUACUCACGUACAAUCUCAUACAAGUCAUAUCUAUGAAUUUAUACAUCACUUACCCAAACUUUACACCAACAAUCAAACUUUCUCUCUCUAGCCUUGAAGCUAAUCUUCAAUGAUCUUCUUGAAUCCAAGGAGAUUGAAGGUGUUUAGGCAAGAUUUUGGAGUGGAUUGAUGUGUUUUGUAUAAUUUUUGGAAGCUCCGAAGGUCUCUCCAAUGGUUGACAAUGGAGGAAAUGAGAGAUGAAAGGGAGAGAGAGAUGACCGAAAAUGGGGUGGAGAAGAGAGAGAAUUGGCUUGCAAGAUUUGUGAGGAUUUGGCUAAUCUUUUAAAGAUUUGUGAAUCUUAUCAAAUAUUUGGCAAUUAAUGCCUUAGUCUCUCUCUCUAAUCUCUACACUCUCAAUCUCUACACUCUCACUUGGCAAAUUUUGGUAAUUAGUCACAUGCUUGGGAAAUUAAAAUAAUAGUGUGAGAAGGGUGACUAAAUAAUAACUACAAUAAUUAUGGAAAUAUUACUCAUUAAUAAAAUACCAUAGCAUAAUUAUUCAUGUGAUCAAAUAAAAUAAUUAUAGCACUAAUAUUAGUGCACUCACUUAAUUUUAAUAUUCCUCAUCGUAGGAAAAAUAAUUUAAAAAUAUUAUGCUUGGAAAAAUUUCCAUAAACCGGCAUCAUUCGAUUUCUCGGUAAAAAUAAACCGCACUUGCUUUGGAAACUUAAUCAAAAUUCCAAGUGCUAAAGUCUCAAAUAAAAAUCAUAAUAACUUGGUCAUAAUGACACACGUCACAGAAAUCACAUAAUCAAUCAGUCACGUAAAUUCACAUAUCAUCACAUCAAAGCAGUCGGCAAACACAAACAAACUAGACGUCUCUCUGACCGACUCUUUUCAUCAAGGUUCUCACUCUUUCUUCCUCGACUCUAUGUCAAACUCAUUAUUCCUAUUUUCUUAAUAGGUCAGUCAAUCUCUGAUAACUCGGUAUCCGGUAACUCUAUUCCCGGUAGUUGGAAAUAAAAUAAAAUCUCAGCUCAAAUCAAUCAGCAUCUCUAUCUCAACUCAAUUCUCGAAUCUCUUCACUCUAACUCUAUCAUUGGUUUAUUCCCUCAUAACUCUAUUUAAAGACAAUCUGUCUUAUCUGCUCAUAAAAAAAAUCUCGUAUUUCGAUAUCUCAGUACUCUCAUUAGUGUUAAGACACUAUUUCUCAACAUAGGGAAAAGUACGGGGUGUUACACUAUUAGACUAAUACUCUCUCUUGCAGCCUAAAAUAGAUGGAAGAUUUAUCAAAUGGAUAUCAAGUCAGCCUUCUUGAAUGGGUAUAUAGACAAAGAAGUCUAUAUCAAGUAGCCAAUGGGCUACGAGGUGAAAGGGCAAGAAGAUAAAGUCUUGAAGUUAAAGAAGGCCCUAUACGGAUUAAAGCAAGCACCAAGGGCAUGGAAUAGCAGGAUCAAUAAGUACUUGGAGGAGAAUAGUUUCACCAAAUGCCCUCACGAGCAUGCUCUCUACGUGAAAGCCAAUGGAGGAGAUGUCUUAAUUGUGUGCUUGUAUGUAGAUGAUUUGAUCUUCACAGGAAAUAAUCCGAAGAUGAUUGAGGAGUUCAAGAAGGCCAUGUCAAAGGAGUUUGAGAUGACCGAUAUUGGGCUGAUGGCGUACUACCUCGACGUGGAAGUCAAGCAACUCGAAGAUGGGAUCUUCAUCACACAAGAAGGAUACGCCAAGGAAAUUCUCAAGAAGUUCAAGAUGGAGGACUGCAAGGCAAUCAACACACCAAUGGAGUGUGGGAUCAAAUUAUCCAAGAACAACGGAGGAGAAAAAGUGGACCCGACAUUAUUCAAGAGCUUGGUAGGAAGCCUACGAUACUUAACUUGCACAAGGCCAGACAUUCUUUAUGCCACAGGGCUCGUGAGUCGCUAUAUGGAAAAUCCAACCUCCAUCCACUUCAAGGCAGCAAAGAGAAUUCUUCGAUAUCUAAAAGGUACGCUCAACUAUGGUCUAUUCUAUUCAAGUACUGAUGAUUAUAAGCUUGUUGGCUAUAGUGAUAGCGAUUGGGCUGGAGAUAAUGAUGAUCGCAAGAGUACAAGCGGGUUCGUAUUUUUCAUGGGAGACACCGCUUUCACCUGGAUGUCGAAGAAACAACCCAUAGUCACGCUGUCAACUUGUGAAGUUGAAUAUGUGGCUGCCACAUCCAGUGUUUGCCAUGUAGUUUCGCUCAGAAGCUUAUUAAUGGAGCUCGGAUGGCCACAAAAGGAGCUAAUAACUAUUUGCGUGGAUAACAAGUCGACAAUCGCGCUAUCAAAGAAUCCAGUGUUUCAUAAUCGAAGCAAGCAUAUAGACACCCGCUUCCACUACAUCAGAGAAUGCAUUGCAAAGAAGGAGGUUCAAGUGGAAUAUGUGAAAUCACAAGAUCAAGUUGCCGACAUCUUCACAAAGCCGCUCAAAUAUGAAGACUUUAUCAAGUUCAGAAGUUUGUUGGGAAUGACAAAUCAAGUUUAAGGGGAAGUGUUGAAAUAUAAAAAAAUAAACUUGAUUCUUAAGUGAAGAUAUUUGUGAAGAAAAAUCUAGAAUCAAGAAUAAAAAUAAGAUAUAGGAACUAAGUAGAAUAGUCUAGAACUUAAUUUAUACAUGCAACUUGCAUGAAUUAUCUAGAAUAUUGUAAUACUAGAUAAUUCUAGUACCUCUUAAAGUCGGCUAAUAAACCGACAUUUGAUACUAUAUAUAUGUGCAUUUGUAUUGUUGGAAAGUGUAGUGAAGAAAAUAAGAAACUUUGGAAUUCAGAGGCAAUUCUUCAUUCCCUACAUAUAUAUACACACACGUCCACACACUUGCACAAUAUUUCUCCAUAUUUUCUCCCAUCAAUUAAAUAAAAUUCUCCAUUUAUAUUUUUUAAAUUUCCAACAGGUACUAUUGUAUAAAGGGAAAGAAGUUAUUUUUUUACCCAACAGUUUCCCUCUGAUUCUGAGCAUUUCUCAAAUAGUACCAAUGUGUGUGAGAGAGUCUUUAUAGAAAUUCAAGAAAUUAACCUUGGGUUUCUCGUCGAGGCUAUUGUCGAUUCUGAUCAUGCAACUAUCUCACCCAUUGCACACUUUUCUAGCCACGAGGCAUUGGCUUUCAUCAUCGGUGUCGGAAGAAUUUGUGUAAGCAUUUCUUAGUAAAGUUAUCCGAUAAGAUUUUAUCGUCAACUACCAUUGGCUUUUGAUCAGCAUACUUCUUAUCCCGCUUAGCUUUUAUUGCUUCCUUAUCUUUUCUAUGUAGCUUAAGGCAUUCUAGCUUAUAGUACUAUAUUUUCCCACAUUAGAAGCCUUAUUCCUUCUUCUUCAAUCAUUCUAAUCAGUUAGGCUUCUCAUUCAGUCCUUAAUUUUUCUUUCUUUGUAACCUCGAUUGUUGUUGCGGUUUACUUUGUAAAACUUUUUGUACUUGUUUAAUCAGGCAUCUAUCUUAUUGAAAUGCCUAGCCAUGAGGUUAAAUUGUUCAUGCAACUCCUCUUUGGAGAGAUCAUCUUUCUUCAUUCUUGAUUCCUUCCCUAAUCUCAACUUGGAAUUUUCAGCCUUUAGAGUAGUUCUCCUUCUUGAGGUGGUGGGAGCUUCAUCGUCUAAGAGAUCAAUAGUUGAUAACCUAUCCUUAAUGUGCUUGGUGUUGUGCUCAUCGGCUUUGUCGACUUGAAGUCGACUCUCUUUUGGUGUCCUACGAUAUACACCUUCCAUUCAACUGUUGGGAGUGCCCAAAGGACUUUGAGAUUGUCACAUCCCAAUUCUUAAAGGAAUAAAUACAAUCGAGGUGCAACCAAAUCAUAGAAAUAACACAAGGGAAAAUCCUUGUUGAAACCCGAAUAAUAAGAUAACAAUUGUAAGAGAUUAAUAGGCAGCCCAAUAAUUGUACAUGAAAGUGACAUAAUCUUGACGGACGGAGGGAGUAAUAUUAAUAUUAUGCAAAACCUUCUUUAAAAUAACUAAUUAAAUAAUAACUUAGGCUUAAAUCUUUAGUCCAAUUAAAGAGAUUAAUAGGCAGCCCAAUAAUUAAUAUAAAAGGGCCCAGCUUUAAAAAAAUUCGCAGCCCAUAUUUAAAAUAUAGAUCAGCCUCAAUUGAAAUAAACCAGGCCCAAGAGUUUCAAUUAAAAAUAGGCCCAUCUUCUUUAAUACAAAACACAACACAUAUAAAAUAAACAAAAUUCAGCCCAACUUCUCAAAAGCCCAAACCUAAUCCCCUUAUUACUCCCUCUCUCUUCUUCUUCUAAACACACGCACACACUUCACAGAGCAGCGGCGCACGCCGCCUCCCACCCCUUCUCCGGCGUACGACCGCGCCAACCGCCGCUGCCGCCCCCUGACUCCCCUCUCCCUCGUCCUCUCUCUCGUCCCUCGCACACCGAACGAGCACGCACACACUCCCACAAACUGAGAACGCCGCUGCCUCUCUCCGAAGUCCGGCGGCCACAGUGGCUAGCGGAGCUAACCACCGCCGCGUGCCCGGCCCCUGCCUCUCUUCCUCUCACUCUGUGUCGGACGGACGACAGCAACCAGCCAUCGCCGACCGCCUCUAGUCCCCACCUUCAGUCUCCACCUCCCUACCCUCUGACUUCCGGCGACUGCACGGCUGGAAGACCGCCGCCGCCGAGCCCUAAUUCCUCUCUCUCUCUCCCCGACUCGACACGGCAGUUCGAAAACAAAGAAUAAAAACAGAGCUUCAAAAAUCUUCUUUCUUCUUCUUUUAUUCAAAUAUGCUUCAUAUGCAUAUAUACAGAUGAUUGUAUGCAUUACACCAACUAGUGUUGGUCAUUUUAUCAAAAAGAAAAUCUUGGUUCAUCUUAUAUACAACUAUAUGUAUGAAAUGUAUACAUGAAUGCAUGAAGAGUUGCUGAAAAAAAGCAUAUGCUUGUAUAUAAUGCUUUAAAUCUUAUAGUAUAACAAAGUAGGUGAGAAAUUUCAAAAUAAAACCUUAUGAUGCUCUGUGUAGGGGAGGGAUUCUUUGAACUGGAGGCUUGGUGUGGCUUGCAAAUCCUUUCUUGGUCUGAUUAGUGUGGCCGAGCGAGAGAGUAAGAUAAAAUGGAUAAGGGAAAUUGUGUAAAAUGAUGAAGGUAGUGAAGUGAACUAUGAGUGGGUGGAAAUGUGCUGCAGAAGC
rnacentral:lncRNA from 1 species